rnacentral:tRNA from 2 species
UACCCCGUGGUGUAAUGGUAGCACAAGUGGUUUUGGUCCAUUUAGUCCAGGUUCAAAUCCCGGCGGGGUAGCCA